rnacentral:rRNA from 1 species
AUUGAACGCUGGCGGCAGGCCUAACACAUGCAAGUCGAGCGGAGCGGCGAACGGGUGAGUAAAGCGUGAGUAACUGCCCCCCUCUCUGGGAUAACAGUUGGAAACGGCUGCUAAUACCGGAUAGUUGGGGAUGACUCGCGUCCUAUCAGCUUGGUGGUGGGGUAGUGGCCUACCAAGGCGACGACGGGUAACCGGCCUGAGAGGGCGACCGGCCAGAAGGGGCUGAGAUACGGCCCAAACUCCUACGGGAGGCAGCAGUGGGGAAUAUUGCACAAGGGGGGAAACCCUGAUGCAGCAACGCCGCGGGCGGGAUGACGGCCUUCGGGUUGUAAACCGCUUUCAGCCAUGACGCGGUAGUGGCAGAAGAAGCACCGGCUAACUACGUGCCAGCCGCCGCGGUAAUUC